rnacentral:lncRNA from 1 species
UUUAGACACAGACACCAAACUCCACACACUCGCACAAACUCACUCCACAGUCCACCCACCCCACUCACUGACCUCGGCUGAAACACCUCUCGGCUGCUCAACUUACCUCUCCGUUCAAAUACACAAUCUCUACUGCUGAAAUCACCAGUGAUUAGGUAAGCUCCGGCACCUCUCACCCUCAAAAUCAACUCUCAAUUGAUUAGGGAUUGAUUUCAGGUCUUCAAUCGGGGCUGGGGCUUUGAUUGAGAGCUUCUCCAUUUCGCGGAAUUAGGGCUUUUGGUGUAUAGUUCCUUGUCUUCAUUUUGCUUUUCAUUUUACUUUUCGCUAUAAUAUUCUUAAUUUUGUGUCUUUAUUCUUCUUAGGGCUUCGAUUGAAUUGGGGCUCCAGUGGAAGUAGGGUUCAACAGCGUUUCACUUUAAUUGCAGCUUCGAUUUGCUUUGAUUUAAGAUACAAUCUGCUGUCAUCCUUUGCUUUUCACUUUAAAUGUUUGCUUUGUUUUAGAUUUUAUGUGUAAAUGCAUGUCUAUCUUAGUAGCUUUGUUGUGAUUUGUGGUCAUAUGUUAUAUUACCC